UUUGUUGGUGGAGCGAAGCCUAGUCAUGUAGCGUUGACAGUUGUUGUAUAGAGUCGGCGACUUCCGGUUGGAGCAUGGACUAAACACUAAACAGAAUAGAAUAUUCGAAAGGAAUAAAAAUUAGAGCAAAUAGAAGAAGACAGGGAGAUCCGUUCCGAUCCGAUCCGAUUCUCCGAUUCCGAUGGCUUCUACAGAGGGUCUGGUGCCCAUAACCAGGGCCUUUCUGGCGUCUUAUUACGACAAACACCCUUUCACUCCUCUUUCUGCUGACGUCUCUCGCCUUUCUUCUCAGAUUCGUUCAAUGGCCACUGAUUUGCUCAAUCAUCGUCCUCCUAUCCAAGGAGAAAGUGACUUAAUAAAUGAAGCUGCCCAGCAACCUCCGCAUAAAAUUGAUGAGAACAUGUGGAAGAACCGAGAGUACAUUGAAGAAACAAUUUACUUACUUGAAAGUUCUAAUUGGCCAGAAGAGUUGAAGCAGCAGUCCGCGCCGGAUAGUGCUGAGUUUGCCAUUACGCUUGGGCAGCUGAAAGAUAAACUUCAUCAUACAUUGAAGGCUUUGGAAUCUUUCCAAAUUAAAAAUGCUGAACAUGUGUUUAACACAGUUAUGACAUAUUUGCCUCAAGAUUUUCGAGGAACUCUACUUAGACAACAACGGGAACGCUCAGAGAGGAAUAAACAAGCAGAAGUUGACACUUUGAUAAAUUCUGGAGGUAGCAUACGGGACAGAUAUGCUUUGUUGUGGAAACAACAAAUGGACAGGAGAAGGCAAUUAGCCCAACUUGGUUCUGCAACAGGAGUCUAUAAAACACUUGUGAAGUACCUUGUUGGGGUUCCUCAGGUUUUACUUGAUUUUACUCGGCAGAUAAAUGAUGACGAUGGGCCCAUGGAGGAACAGCGUCAUCGCUAUGGACCACCCUUGUACAGCCUCACCUCAAUGAUUCUUUCUAUCCGACUCUUCCUUUCAUUAUCAUGGACACGAUAUGAUGCUAAGAAGUUAAAAAGGGAACAAAUCGUUAUCUUGGAACAAGCUGUUGAUAUCUAUACCAUGGAGUUGAAAAGGUUUUUGACAUUUAUCAGUGAGGUCUUUGCAAAUGCACCUUUCUUCAUUUCAGCAGAGGUUGCAGGUGCAUUGGAAGCAAGCAAAAAUGAUGACUACAAAGAGAUAGGUGUUCCAGCUGGGAAAACUUAUGAGGUUUUACUUACUGUUGAUUCUGUUAACUCAUACAUUGCAUGGGAUUUUUCAUUGGUACAAGGCAAGAUAAAUAUGGAUAUUGGAUUUAGUUUGGAGUUUGUAAGUUCUACUGGGGAAAAAACUCCAAUGUUACCGUACCGUCGAUUCGAGAGUGACCAAGGGAACUUCUGCACGUUAAUGGCUGGAAGCUAUAAACUGAUCUGGGACAACACAUAUUCAACCUUUUUCAAAAAGGUAAUGUAUCUAGGCAUGUUGACCGAUUCAGUGAGAUGCAAACUGUAUAUCACUUGGACUGGUUACUAAACACAAAUGCUUGUUGGGCUAACAUACUGAUCAAAUUGCAUGGGGAGUCAGGUUCUACGGUACAAGAUAGAUUGUAUACCUCCUGUCACAGAGUCAGUGCAGUCCAACUGAUGCAAGUUGUGGACGAGGAAGGAUGGCCGAUUCAUUUGCUAGCAUUUGCUAGUAAUUUUAAUCCAAUUAAAAACACAUGUUCCAAUUACCCAUGUCAAGAUUGAUCCACCCCCUAUUUAUUAGUGAUGGGAAGAGCUGGGAAAAAUUAAUCUUUUGUAUAAAAUUGUUAUAUAUUUAGUUAUUAUGUGUGGUUGUAGCCUGUAGCAAGCUGUGACUGUGCUACAAUGGGCGCAAAUUUAAUCCUCAGUGAAUGUAUAUUUUCCAUUUCUACAGGCAAAUAAUCGCAGUGGAAAACUAAAGAGAUAAACAUGUGAGGAUCAAGUGGGUAUGGUUUCAUGUCCCCACUGUAGAUUAGAAAUUAGAUACCGGAUUUGGUGAGUUUAUUUUGCAAGCAUGUGUGUAUAGAAGAAAAAAAAAAAAAGACAAGUAAAUAUAGGUUAUGCCACA